AGUACGGCCGCAAGGUUAAAACUCAAAUGAAUUGACGGGGGCCCGCACAAGCGGUGGAGCAUGUGGUUUAAUUCGAUGCAACGCGAAGAACCUUACCUACUCUUGACAUCCAGAGAACUUUCCAGAGAUGGAUUGGUGCCUUCGGGAACUCUGAGACAGGUGCUGCAUGGCUGUCGUCAGCUCGUGUUGUGAAAUGUUGGGUUAAGUCCCGCAACGAGCGCAACCCUUAUCCUUUGUUGCCAGCGGU
rnacentral:rRNA from 1 species